CCGCGUGUAUGAAGAAGGCCUUCGGGUUGUAAAGUACUUUCAGUUGUGAGGAAGGCGUUGGAGUUAAUAGCUUCAGCGCUUGACGUUAGCAACAGAAGAAGCACCGGCUAACUCCGUGCCAGCAGCCG
rnacentral:rRNA from 1 species